rnacentral:rRNA from 1 species
AGCGAACGCUGGCGGCAUGCCUAAUACAUGCAAGUCGAACGAGAUCUUCGGAUCUAGUGGCGCACGGGUGCGUAACGCGUGGGAAUUUGCCCUUGGGUUCGGAAUAACUUCUGGAAACGGAAGCUAAUACCGGAUGAUGACGUAAGUCCAAAGAUUUAUCGCCCAAGGAUGAGCCCGCGUAGGAUUAGGUAGUUGGUGAGGUAAAGGCUCACCAAGCCGACGAUCCUUAGCUGGUCUGAGAGGAUGAUCAGCCACACUGGGACUGAGACACGGCCCAGACUCCUACGGGAGGCAGCAGUAGGGAAUAUUGGACAAUGGGCGAAAGCCUGAUCCAGCAAUGCCGCGUGAGUGAUGAAGGCCUUAGGGUUGUAAAGCUCUUUUACCCGGGAUGAUAAUGACAGUACCGGGAGAAUAAGCUCCGGCUAACUCCGUG